ensembl:lncRNA
GGGAUACUGGAGUGAUGGAGGUAGAUAUGUAUAGGGGUAAGGUGACAGGGAUACUGGAGUGAUGGAGGUAGAUAUGUAUAGGGGUAAGGUGACAGGGAUACUGGAGUGAUGGAGGUAGAUAUGUAUAGGGGUAAGGUGACAGGGAUACUGGAGUGAUGGAGGUAGAUAUUAUAGGGGUAAGGUGACAGGGAUACUAGAGUGAUGGAGGUAGAUAUGUAUAGGGGUAAGGAGACAGGGAUACUGGAGUGAUGGAGGUAGAUAUGUAUGUUAGGUGACAGAGAUACUGGAGUGAUGGAGGUAGAUAUGUAUAGGGGUAAGGAGACAGGGAUUCUGGAGUGAUGGAGGUAGAUAUGUAUGUUAGGUGACAGAGAUACUGGAGUGAUGGAGGUAGAUAUGUAUAGAGGUAAGGGGACAGGGAUACUGGAGUGAUGGAGGUAGAUAUGUUUAGGGGUAAGGUGACAGGGAUACUGGAGUGAUGGAGGUAGAUAUGUAUAGGGGUAAGGUGACAGGGAUACUGGAGUGAUGGAGGUAGAUAUGUAUAGGGGUAAGGUGACAGGGAUACUGGAGUGAUGGAGGUAGAUAUGUAUAGGGGUAAGGUGACAGGGAUACUGGAGUGAUGGAGGUAGAUAGUGUAUGUAUAGCCGUAAGGUGACAGGGAUACUGGAGUGAUGGAGGUAGAUAUGUAUAGGGGUAAGGUGACAGGGAUACUGGAGUGAUGGAGGUAGAUAUGUAUAGGGGUAAGGUGACAGGGAUACUGGAGUGAUGGAGGUAGAUAUGUAUAGGGGUAAGGUGACAGGGAUACUGGAGUGAUGGAGGUAGAUAUGUAUAGCCGUAAGGUGACAGGGAUACUGGAGUGAUGGAGGUAGAUAUGAAUAGAGGUAAGGUGACUAGGCAACAAGAUAUAACAAACUGAGUAGCAGCAGCUUGUAUGUAAUAACAGCAGCUUGUAUGUAGAUGGAGUGAGUGAGUGUUAGAGUGACAGUGUUUGUGUGUUGGAGUGACAGUGUGUUAGUGUUGGGG